CGAGUUGGAGUGGCGAGAGAGCAGCCGAGGUCCCGUUGCCCGUGCCUGCACCGGGAGAGGCGUCAUGAAAGCGCGCCAGUUGACCGAGUGCACCUCACCUCGGACGAAACCGCGUAUUUGCCGUCGUUGAGGAGAGGCCUACCUUGCCCUCUCUGCUUUCGUGGCAAGGAUUCGGCCGGUGGCUCUCCUGCUCCUCGCUGUCACGCGCCUCUAUUGUUUCUCCAGUGCGGGGGGAGGGGGGGGGGGAAAUCUUGGUUUUUGCCAGUAUCCGGAUAGAAUAGCGGCGCGGUAUCCGUGUCGUGUGUCGGCCGAGAGUGUCGUACUCGAUUUUCGUCAUUCGUAACUCGUUGUGUGUACUCGUUUCGGAGAGAAGUUUCACCCAAGUCAAUAGUGUGCGAGUGCUAGUGUGCACGCGUGAUGCGUGAGACGUGCCGUUUCGAUUGAUCAUCGCGGAUGUCUACGCUUCGGUCUGCUAUCUUUUGACAAGUUUGAGUUCGCGUUUGAGUGGGUGGAAAAGGACGAAGGAAAGAAGAAGUUUUUCGUUUGUUCCUCUUUCAUCGACGCACGGCUUGUUGUUUCUCACGUCACGCGAAUUUCUCGUGGCGCGAUACGCGUUGUUAUUGACAUAUCGAUUUGGUUGGCACGGUGCUCGUUCCGUUUGGCGAAUCGAAUCGUCGUGCGGAGAUCCAGGAGAGAAGGAAACACCGAGAGGAGGGAAAAGAAAACCAAAAAAAGAAAGAAAGAAAGAAAUAUGAAAACUCGUUUCCGUGACUAAGGCUCGGAUGAAAGUAUUAAAACGUUUCUUUCUUUCGGUUUCACGUUGAUAACCACCGUCGCCUCGGUGGCCUGGCGUGUUUCACUUUGACGUUGAAACGUAGUGGCACGUUUCGGUUGAUAUUUCUCAUCGUUCGAAUCGAGAGAGAGAGAGAAAUCGAGGAGGAAACGGAGCAUUUCGACAGACACGCGAUACUCUUUGUUAUUCUUUGUUAUCGUAACGAUAUCGUACACACAACGUUCCGUACGUACGUUCUCUUUUCGAUUUCGUAUUUUCCGACGAUCGAUUCGAAACACGAGGAGGCGAACAAAAGGAACAAAGAUAGAUUGGCUCGAAGAUUAAUUCAAAUUCGUCGGGCGUUCGUAGCGACGUCAACGUGGGCCGCUUUAAACGAGCGAAAGGAAACUUGUAGCGCCAAAAAAAAAAAGAAGAAGAAGAAAUAACUGAUCAGACCAGAAGAUUAUCAAAAACCUCGUACAUUCCAUUUUAUUUUUUUAACACAAAGUAACUGAAACGACGUUACGCAACGAGUUACCUCCUUCGUCGUAAGAGAAAGAAGAAGAGAGAGGCGAGAAGAAUAUUAAUCAACGUCCGAUCGAAUAAUCGCCUUUGAAGUACAAUUUCCCCGAUAUCGAACAAUCUGACUUGGUUAGUGACAUCUCCUAUUUCACGAAACGCUCGGUUCGUUACCUUGGCGUUGUCUCGGGCAAGGCAAGGAGGGUGGCAUCCCCUCGUCGUCUCGUUAUCCCGUUCCACGCUCGUCGAGGGGCCGAAACGGGACGGAUAGGAGAGCGUCGAACGGAGAAGAAAGGACGAGGCCUUAUCUAGGCCCUCCUCCUCCUCCAACUCUUUCGACCGCCGUCGAACAAUCGAGUCGAAGAGAGAAAAGAAGAGAAAAAAGAGGGAAGAAAAAAAGAAAGAAAGAAAAAGAUGAUAAUGCACGAGCUCGUUAUCAAACUUUACGUGGCCAUUGUCGACGAGCUCGUUGUCGGUUGCCCGUAUCGUUCCAGGUAAAAUUCGAAAGAAGAGAGGCACGACAUGACCCUCGCCGUUUCACGGUUCAUCGACACUUUUGCCUGACAUUCCAUUAUUAUUAUUCGCAUCGAAAGGUACCUUCCUUUCGGAGGAGGUGCGAGCUCAAGUUUUCAACGAAACGUUGACCCAGUCCAGUCAUGGCGGAACCAGGGACCAGAACUAUCGUGAGCAACGACAGAACGAGAAAAAAGGGAUCCUCGAGUCCCCGUUGAUCCAGAGUGAAUAAAAUCGUGAAUGCCUCGGCUCGUCGUCGUCGUUUCAACGUCACUCGGCAUACGAAAAUCCGUACGAGCGCGGCCGCGAACUAGUCGAGCAGGAAGCGUGCACACGUUGGUGUGACACACGCGGUGACACACGUGGUCGGUCGUUUGGGUACCGUUUCCAACAUUCCUAUCCGAGCUGUCCGGAACGAGUUAGAGGGGAGGAGUGUUCCGGUUAGCCGAACCGUCGAGCCAGCCAGCCAGCCAGCCAGCCAGCCAGCCGGCCGGCCGUCCAUGGAUAUGGCAGCCGCUGUUGUUGUCUCUCCUCCACGGUUCCAACGUUGUCGGCGGCGUGCUACCUGUGAAUCGAGCGAACAGGUGUUGUCGCAAGGUGUUGCCCGGGCCGGGAUACGUGAUUCCUCGUGAUAGCAGCAGGCUCGUCAAACUGUCUGCGCUAGCGUGUGUGUGUUGUGCUCGUGUUUAACUCGAUCGAUCGUGUGUGCGUGUGCGUGUGCGUGCGUGUGUGCCUGCCUGCCUGCCUGCCUGCGUGUGAGAGAGAGAGAGACGAUCGACACGAUUCCUCGCGUGCGUUCUUAGUGACCGAAAGUGUUUGACCGAAGUGAUACACGGUGAGUUUAGGUGUAAUAGGCCAAGAAGUAGGCCGCGGAGGAGAAAGGAGAGGAGAGGGAAUAUACGCACGGUUGAAAUUGGUGCGAGGGAGAAGAAGAAGGAGGAGGAGGAAAGGAAGAAAGACAGAGUCGCGUUGAUCCGUGUCGGUCGAAGAAAAUUAAGGAUGAAGAGCAGGAUGGUCGAUUGCGCGCGAUCCAUAUCCAGGUUUCGCGGCACCCUUCUUCUGCUUCUGACGCUGCUCGCGGAGGUCACGUAUUCGGCAGACCUCGCGAUCGAGAUACCAGGAAACUUGAGCCAGGGAGGUUCUUGGUACCGUUUGGACUACAGCCCUGCUGUCGGUUAUCCACCACCCAACACCACCAUAGCCGCCAUCGACAUAGGCGACGUGAUAAAGUUCAAGGACGGCCUGCCGGGCACCAAGUACGAAUUUUGGUUGUACUAUAGCAACAGCAGCCUCCACGAUUGGCUGACAUGGACCGCGUCCAUAACUACGGCCCCGGAUCCCCCCUCGAACCUCACCGUCUCGGUGAGAAACGGGAAGACGGCGAUAGUGUACUGGGCGCCGCCCGCCCAGGGCAAUUAUUCCGGGUUCCGGUUAAGGGUGCAGAGUUUCAGCGACACGGGGAACCCCAAGACGAGCGUGAUACCGGCGGACGCGGUUCCCUACGUGCUCCGCGACCUGAUACCAGGUGCAACGUACUCCCUCCAACUGUUCACCGUGCUGGACACCAAGGAGAGCGUCGCGUACACCAGCAGGAAUUUUACCACUAAGCCGAACACGCCGGGCAAGUUCAUCGUAUGGUUCAGAAACGAGACGACCUUGCUGGUCCUGUGGCAGCCUCCCUAUCCUGCCGGGAUUUACACCCAUUACAAAGUUAGUAUAGAUCCCGCAGAUGCCAUAGAAUCUGUUCUUUACGUGGAGAAGGAAGGAGAGCCCCCCGGGCCUGCACAGGCAGCCUUCAAGGGGCUCGUUCCUGGCAGAGCUUACAAUAUUUCGGUUCAAACGGUGUCGGAGGACGAGACUUCGACCCCGACCACGGCCCAGUAUCGAACGGUGCCGUUGCGACCCCUCAACGUUACCUUCGACAAGCCUUCGAUUACGUCCACCUCGUUCCGGGUCUUCUGGAAUCCGCCAGAGGGGAUGUCCGAAUUCGACAAGUAUCAGAUAUCGUUGGGGGGCAACAAAAGGCUCGCCCCGGUCACGAGGAACAGGGACGACGAGAGCAAAUGGGAGUUCAAGGAUUUGGAGCCGGGGAAAACUUAUCAGGUCGUGGUGAAGACCGUCUCGGGCAAGGUUACCAGUUGGCCGGCCAACGGGGACGUUACUUUGAAACCGUUGCCGGUGCGCGAUCUUAGCGCGGUGAUCGACGAGAAAACCGGGAUGGUGGAGGUUUCCUGGCACCCGGAGAACUCGAGUACCCAGGACAGUUACAAGCUUCAGUAUCACGAGGUGGAAACUACGAUCGGCGGUGAUAGCAACAUGUUGACAACUGAUAAGACCAAGGUCACGUUGGAAGCUUUACUGCCAGGCAGGAAUUACUCGAUAAUCGUCCAGGCGAUCAGCAACAAGGUGGAAUCGAACGAGACCGUGCUCUACCAAGUGACACGGCCCUCGAGCCCGAUAAUCGAGGAUCUGAAGCCGACCGAGAUGGGGUUGAACAUCUCGUGGAAGAGCGACGUUAACUCGAGGCAGGAGAAAUUCGAGGUGACGCAUAACAGGAACGACACGGGGGAGAGCGCGACCACCUUGACCACGGAAUCUCACAUAGUUCUCGAGGACCUCUACCCCGGGGCAGCUUACGAGGUCAAAGUUUUCGCCAUUAGCCACGGGCUCAGGAGCGAACCUCACGAUUAUUUUCAAGCUGUUCUGCCCCAUCCGCCAAAGAAUUUAGUGAUCGAGAAAGUGACUACGGGGAACACUGUGGUGGUCCGUUGGGAGGCGCCCACGGAUUCCUUGUAUUCCGAGUUCUCGAUACGAUAUCGGACAGAGGACGACCCAAGAUGGGUGAAGUUGCCCAGCGUUCGCGAGACGGAGGCCGAGGUGGCGGAUAUGACGCCCGGGGAGAAGUACACGAUCCAAGUGAACACCGUCAGUUACGGGGUGGAAAGUCUGUAUCCGCUUCAAGUGAAUCACACAGUUCGAUCCAACCCGGUACUCAACAUCACCCCAAUCGUGGACUCGACGAACGUGACCCUGGAAUGGCCGAGGCCCGAGGGCAGGAUCGAAACGUACGUGAUAAGAUGGUGGCCGGUGGACAAUCCCGAGGACGUGCGCACGAAGAACGUGACGGAGAGCAACGACGUGGGCGGGGCUGGCAUCUACGAGGAGAGCUCGGUGCAAAGGGUGUUGGUCGGCGAUCUUAUGCCCGGUGUUCAAUACUCCUUCGUAAUAUGCACCAUCUCGUAUAACUUGGUCAGUGAGAUCACCAAUCUGACUACGAGGACAAUGCCGCUGAUCCAAUCGGAAGUGGUUGUGGUGGUCGAUCAGGAUCAGCCUGACUCGUUGACCUUGAGAUACACACGGACCCCGGUUCAAUCGUCCAAGUUCGAUCUGUAUCGGUUCCGGAUCAGCGACUCGAGGAACACGACGAAACAGAAGAUGGUGGACGACGUGGACACGAAAGUGACCUUCACCGGCCUCACGCCCGGUAAACUGUACAACGUUACCGUUUGGACCGUCAGCGAUAACGUGGAGAGCAGGCCGCUGCUCAGGCAGGAUCGACUUUAUCCGGAACCGGUCACAUCCAUCCAAGCCAUAGACAUCAACGACACGAGGAUCACGCUCACUUGGGAUAUACCCCGUGGACAGUACGACGCUUUCGAGGUUCAAUACAUAAACACGGAGGGGAAUUACAUUCAGAACAUCACCACGGUGAACUCGAUAACUAUCUCCGAUUUGAAACCGCAUAGAAAUUACACUUUCACAUUGGUGGUCCGUUCCGGGACCGCAUCCUCUUAUCUGAGAAUAUCGAAUCCUCUGAGCGCGAGUUUCACCACGAGCGAGUCCUAUCCUGGAAAGGUGGAGAAGUUCCAUCCCACGGAUAUUCAACCGAGCGACAUCAGCUUCGAGUGGUCGCUACCCAGCCAAGAGCAGAACGGCAUCAUAAUUAAAUACACCAUCACCUACGGUUUGGACGGCUCGAACCACACUCAGAUGCAGGAUUUCAAGCCGAACGAGUACCGCGGCGUGAUCAAGUCUCUGAUACCUGGAAAGACGUACAUGUUCAGGAUCCAGGCGCAGACGAGGAUAGGGUUCGGGCCCGAGGCGGUGUGGAAGCAGAAGAUGCCCAUCCUCGCUCCUCCUAAACCGCCCACGCAGGUGGUGCCGACCGAGGUGUGCAGGAGCAGCACGACGAUACAAAUACGGUUCAGGAAGAAUUACUUCAGCGAGCAGAACGGAGCCGUCACGUCCUACACGAUCAUAGUCGCCGAGGACGACAGCAAGAACGCGUCUGGCUUGGAGAUGCCCAGCUGGAGGGAUGUUCAGGCUUACAGUAUCUGGCCACCGUAUCAGGUGAUGGAGCCUUACUAUCCUUUCAAAAACGGGUCCGUGGAGGAUUUCACGAUCGGCAGCGAGAAUUGCGACAACAAGAUCGGAUACUGCAACGGCCCGUUGAAAUCUGGAUCCACGUACAGAGUAAAAGUUCGCGCGUUCACCGCCCCGGACAAAUUCACGGACACGAGUUACAGUUUCCCGAUUCAAACAGGAUUGCUGCUGGCAGAUAAGGACAAUACGGCUAUCAUAGUUGGAGUCACGGUCCCGAUAGUACUUUUACUGGCUUUACUUGGUAUCGGGUUAUUGGUCAGGCGGAGAAGAAGUCAGGGACGGAAGACGACCGAAACGAGGACCACCGACAAUUUGUCCCUACCUGACAGCGUGAUCGACACGAGUCGGCCGAUCAAGAUAGAAGAUUUUUCUGAACAUUAUCGGACGAUGUCGGCCGAUUCCGAUUUCCGUUUCUCGGAGGAGUUCGAAGAGUUGAAGCACGUAGGAAGGGAUCAACCUUGCACAGCCGCCGAUCUACCGUGCAACAGGCCGAAGAAUCGUUUCACCAAUAUUUUACCCUACGAUCACAGCAGAUUCAAAUUGCAACCCGUGGACGACGAGGAGGGUUCCGAUUACAUCAACGCCAAUUACGUCCCCGGGCACAAUUCUCCGAGAGAGUUCAUCGUCACCCAAGGUCCUUUGCACUCGACGCGUGACGAUUUCUGGAGAAUGGUCUGGGAAAGCAACAGCAGGGCGAUCGUAAUGCUGACCAGGUGUAUCGAGAAGGGAAGAGAGAAGUGUGACCAUUAUUGGCCAGUCGACACUCAUCCCGUCUAUUACGGUGACAUUUGCGUAACUAUAUUGAACGAGACGCAUUAUCCCGAUUGGAGCAUCACCGAAUUUAUGCUGUGCAGAGGAGACGCGAAAAGGGUGAUCCAACACUUCCAUUUCACGACGUGGCCGGACUUUGGCGUUCCAAAUCCUCCUCAAACGUUGGCCAGAUUCGUUCGGGCGUUUAGGGAGAGAGUGAGGCCGGAUCAGAGGCCGAUCGUGGUCCACUGCAGCGCGGGAGUCGGCCGCAGCGGUACGUUCAUCACGUUGGACAGAAUACUACAGCAGAUCCUGGUGUCCAAGUACGUGGACAUAUUUGGGAUAGUGUGGGCGAUGAGGAAGGAGCGCGUGUGGAUGGUCCAGACUGAGCAACAGUACAUUUGCAUACACCAGUGUCUUCUGGCGGUGUUGGAGGGCCAGGACAUGACUGGCCCGCCGCGAGAGAUUCACGACAAUCAGGGAUUCGAAGGCAAGAAUCGAAGCUCGGUUGAAAAUACAAACAGUCCUGGCGAGGAUGAAAAGGAAAGGUGACCCUCGAACUGCGAUUCCGGCGUCGAUGUGAAGAGGAACUUCGUUCUAUUGGACGACGAAGGAAUAGCGGAAUCAGGAAUGUGAUGUUCGAAUACCUCGAUUCAUUCAGGGAUCAACGAACACGAGGAUGCUUUAGAGAUAUUUUGAGAAGAUUGUGCGGUGCAAGAUAUAUAUGUAUAUAUAUAAAUAUAUGAAUGAAUAUAUAUAUAAACAUAUAUAAACCGCGGAAAAUGGAAGAAAUCCUUGUAUCUACUCACGAGAUAUACCAGAAGUGCUUCUGAAAAAGAGACGAGAAACUAGCUUAGCUUCGUUGCUUGAGAGGAAGCGUCACGUUCGAGAUGAUUUACGUCUUUUUUUAGUUUUCUUGCGAGAAGAACAACAACAAUAACAACGGCAACAAUAACAACAAUCAAGACUAUUGCAUCUUCUCACAAAACGUUUCGUGUACGUGGUAGUAAACGAAAUACGAAUGCUUCAAGUCGACGAAUAAUAAUAUAUUAUAUAUAUAUACACACAUAUAUAUAUACCGUCGAUAAUAAUUUUAAACUUUCACCGCGAGAAUGUGAAUGAUACGAGUGAAAAAGAAAGUACCGUUCGACGAUCGAUGCCUCGAGUGUUCGAAUGAUCAGGUUUCGAUCGAUCGAUCGAUGAAAACAAGGUUAUUCCAUUCGAUGGUUUCGACGAUACAUUUUAUCAUCUCAAUCCGUUCAUCUUCCGGGGAAAGACGCGGAGGAAGCGGAAAGGGGGAAAUACAGAGUGCAGAGUGUGAAAUUCUGACGAGCGGAAUGAUUGAAAAUUUUCGAGGGAUUCGAGAUGAUUAUAUUUCUAUUUCUGGGGAAGUUCGAUCGAGAGGAGGGAGGCAUAGGAAGCGAGUUGUUUCGCUCGGAUUUGUGUACAGAUUCUGUACGAGGAAGAGGAAUUAUUUUUUUUUCGCGUCGAAACUGCUUCCACCGUGUUCGGUAAUGUAAAGUUGAGAACGAAUUGAUGUGAUUUUCAUUUUGCGACGAGUGGCUGUUUGAAAGUAGUGGGAGAGAAUUACCGAGAGAUGAGCGUGUAGCAUCGUAAACGAUUUCUCCUCGCCUCUGUUCUUUUCUGUAAAUAAUAAUGUAAAUCGACGAUACUGAAUGUUCUCGAAAAACGGACGAGGCGGUUUUUUUCAAAUCGGAUCACGGGAGAGCGAUCAUAAUUCCGGGAUCGAGGAGUUGUCUCCUUCUCUCCCUUUUCUUUUCUUUUCUUUUCUUUUCUUUUCUUUUUCUUUUUCUCUUUUUCCUUCACGAAGAAAAAAGGCGACGAUCGAUGCUCGCGUUUUUAGGUACCGCGAUGUAGAUAAAUCUCCAAGUUGCAUAUCUUAAGGAUUGUAAGAUGCGUAUUGGGUUGCCACGUUGCGAUCGAGAUCUUUCAAUCGAGCUUGAAGAAAAAUCAAUUUUUCUCUCGCCUAAUUUUUUUUCUUUUUUCUUUUUUUUCUUUUUUUCUUUCAUCAUUCACGGAAUAUACAAUUUAUUGGAAAAUUCGUAUUCAAAAUCGUGAGUGGCAACCAUCCGUCCAAAGGGGGUGUAGUAGAAAUACCGAUUAAAGAAAACACUGCCUAGAAUGAAAAAAAAAAAAAAAAAAGAAAAAAAGAAAAAAAAACAAACGGGGAAUAUGAAAUAGGAAUACGAGAGAAGAAUGGAUUUCCUCCUUUUUUUUUCUUUCACGAUAGGAAGAGAAUUAAGAGAAAUAAAUAAAUAAAUAAAUAAAUAAAUAAAAGUAAAGUAAAAAAAAAAAAAAAAAAAAUUUAACAUGUCACAGUGGGAACAAGAAACUCGCAUCUUCGUAGAAGUCAUAUCACUCUUUUCACGGGAAUCACUCGACGAUCCGUAUAAUAAUACAUAAUAUUUACUAAUCAUCGACAGUUCGAUUCUUCGAAAUCGAGACGUUCUUCGAGAUCGUUAAUCAUAGAUCGUAGAUCGUUCGUAACUUUUGACAUCGUUCAUCGACGCCGUUUCGUGUAUCGUUUCGUAUAUCGUUUGACCGAUCUCUCUCUCUCUCUCUCUCUCUCUAAAAACAAAAAACAAAAGAAACGUGAAUCGAUGAACCUUCAACACGACGGACCAAAACUGCUUCUCUGUUUGCACGAUUCGAACGAUGAUCGAUGAUCAAUAGGAUUUACAAUUUAGACAGGAAUAUCACGAGGGAUAAGUAAGUCUGGUGGAGGAGAAAGGAACGAUCGAAUCUUGGAUCGAGAUUGAAAAAAAAGAAAAAUUGGACGAAAAUUUUAGGACGACUACGACUACGACGACGAAUUUCCACCACGUUCCGUUUUGAGAACGGAAACGGAAGAUCCGAUCGAUCACCCUCCGGUACUUAGAGGUCGGAAGAUUUGCUCGAUGCUACAAAGAAAAAAAAAAAAAAAAUCUGUGUACUUAAUUCUCUAUUUUUACCGUAUAUUUGAGGCAAUGUAGGAAGGAGGGGGGGAAGGGAGAGGGUGGGGGAUUUUUACGCGUUUGAGAGUCGCGUGAAAUUUCUGAUUAUUGUUCUCGAAUCAGGGUAAAAAGAAUUGAUUCUCUCUAAUAUGGAAGGGGAGAGAAUCGUGUUUUUUGGAAAUUUCAAAUUCACUGCCCACAUGUAUUUUUGGAGGAACGUUUUUUAUAUUCGCUAUUAAGUAGUCGCGCGUGAAUAUCGACUCGUGAAUCUUUUACUUGUAUCAGGAGAUGUGAAUAUGAGUCCGGUCGGCUCGAUCAUUUUAUUAUCGAUAUCGUAUUAUAUACUCGAUCCGUGGAUCCGUGAUCGAGAGAUUGAAAAUGAUAUCGAGUGAAUAUUGACUGAAACACGAAUUAUUUGAUUGAAUAAUUAGAUUACAGCGCGAAAUAUACGAAAGUGUGAUUCGAAACUCGAUAGUAUGAUGAAAAGGUAGAAAGAAUAACAUCGAUCUUGAUAGAUUCGAGCGAGGACUAAACGAACCAUUUAUGAUAAUUUUUUUUUUUUCUAAAAAUUCUCUUCUCUGAUUCUUCUCCAAGUCACUUCGCUUGACGACUUUAUAGAAACGAAAUUAGACGGCACGACUGAUGAUUAAUCGAUAAUCGAGAUAUUUUUGUAAAGGAAAUUCGAUAAUAUCGACUUAAAGAGAGGAGGGGGAGAAAAAAAAAGAAUUUGCCAAUCGACUGCCAAACGCAAUAGAGAGUAUUAUAAAGCGAUAAGGUUUUAUUAAUUACUUAUCAAACUCCCAUGAGGGGGGAGGUUUGUUUCCUUUCCAGGUUAGAAAAUUGUUCCAAAUAAGAGAUAAGAUUUCUUAGAUGCGUAAUAUUGUAUAUAAUUGUAUAAUGAGAAUGGGAUAAGAUAUAGGCGAGUCGAUAAAGGAAAAGUUCGACAAGUUGCAGUUUCCAAUCCAUCGAAUUUCUUUGCUACGAUAUCUAUCGCUGUACAUGCUGUCGCUGUGUUAUCAUUAUUGUAAUCAUUGAUGUUUCUCGUGUAAAUGGAUAAUUGUCACAGCCCCCCCCCCGGGUCGUUCGAGUUUCGUUUUACGGGAAAUGCACGCGUUCUUGUUCUCUUCCUUCUCUUAAUGAAAUUUAAAUGAAAUCACAGAUCGGUUUCUCAUUCGAAUUCUGGAAAUGUGUAAACGCGUAGGUGGAUGUGUGUCCACGAUCAAGAAUCAAUAUCGUUUAGUUCAUUCAAUUUCGUUCUGUUCCUCCUCUUUCUUCGAAAAAUAAUCUCGUGUCUUUCGGAUGAUUGUGACGCACGUUUUACGAUGUUUUACGUUUUUUCGUGACUUUUUUUUUUCUUUUUUUUUUUUAAUAGAAAAAGUACUUGGAUGCUUUUACAAAGUCGAUUUUACUUUAUUGCAUCGAUAUCGAUGCACGACGAUUAUUUGUUUUUGCUCUCCAAUGAAAUUUCUCGGAUCAUGUCGAAAAUAAUUUCUUAUAUUUUUAUGAAAACUAACUUUGUUAACUUUUCGAAAAGUUAGGCAAGUUUUCUCCUUUAUAAUAUUUUUCGUCUCUUCUUUUUUUUUUUUCACAGCUUGUUCAAUUUUCACGCGAAUUUCACAAAAAUUUCACAUCGAUCCAACGCUACAAUUAUUGCUUACUUUAUGCUAUCCCGAAUCAUUGACGCGACUCUACAUAGUUUUAUGCGCAUAAGAAAUCAAUAAUAAAUUAAUGUGAUAACUAAAUAAAUAAAGGGAGAUAAUUUUUGCAAUCUCAUUUAAUAUUCAAUUUCCAUGAAAAUGUUCCAUUGAAACGUGUAACUAAAAGAUCGACAGUUUUUAAAUUAUUUGUACAUAAUAAUAAUAAUAACAAUAACAAUAACAAUAAUAAUAAUAAUAAUAAAAAUAAUUAUCGAAUUUAUUUAAGAAAUGAUCCUAUAUAUUUUCUAAUCAAAUUAUUAUCGCGUGCGUGUAUAAUUCCUCGAUUGAAGUGACGUUGUAUUGCUUGUAAAAAAAAAAAGAAAAAAAAAGAAAAAAAAAGAACACGGUUGAUCAACCAAUUAACAAAUCCCAAAAAAUAAAUGUCGCUUUCAUCGAAUCAGAUUCACCAGAUUCAUCGUGAAUCGCGUCAAACACCCGCUCGGAUUUUUUUCAUGUUUACGAGUGUAACGCCACAAAUAAUGGAAAAUUUUCGAUCAUCGUCUGUGUAAGUGUGUGCUUCUGUAUACAUAUACCACGAUCAUAUCAUAACGUAAUUGUAAAAAAAAAAAAAAAAAAAAACAAGAAAAAAAGGAAAAAAAAAAGAUCUGUAUAAUAUGAUCUGAAUUAUAUCUAUGUUCUAAGGCGUUCAAUGUCAUUGCAGCUUUCCAUACGUACGAAGGGUAUAAAAAUUGCGGAAUUUGGAUUGUCGGAUAAAUUUUGCCAAAUUAUUCUCGAUCGAAUAAACGUUCAACAUUGCCUCGUUUUGAGAAUUAUGGAUAAUGUGAAAGUGAAAGUGUGAAAGAAUUUUUUUUAAUCAGAUCUCUCUUCGAAAAAGGGCAAAAUUUAUUGUGCACAAUUAAUAAGAAAAAUAACGAUUCUUUUUUUUUUUUUUUUUUUUUUAGAACAAACGCAAUCGAACACGAAUUGUUUCGAACGAAUUUAAAAUUAUGAUGAAAAAUGCAAAGAUGCGCGUAGGUCGUUGCAUCAAGUUUUGAAUUGGAGUGAAUUGGAAUCUCAUUUGCACCGUGCUCGAUUUUACGCGUACGCACCACAAGUUCGAUGGAAAUGUUAAAUUUAUUUUAACAUUUGAUAAAUAACCGGAGAAAUCCAUUUAUUACAAUAUAUAUAUAUAUAUAUAUGUAAUAAAAAAAGAGUCGAGCACGAAGAUAUACGAUGCGAAAAUUGCGUUGUCAUUAGUGUAAUGAAUGCGUUAUUCUGUGAUAAAUCAAUAUUGUUGGAGCGAGUAUGGGGAAUUAAAGAGACAAGAUGAGGUACAACCGAAUGGAUGAUUAAUAGUAAAGUUUUUUUCGAUAUCGAGUAUGGGUUCGUGCCAAUUACUAUUUUUUCUUUCUUUUUCUUUUUUUUUUUUUUCUUCGCUGGAUCAUUUGGAGGAUCAAGAUCCCGAAACGAUAAUAAAUCGACGUGAAACGAAAAAGAAAAAAAAGAAAAAAGAAAAGAAAAAAAGAAAUCAUCACACAGGAACAAUUGUACGAUAAAUUGAUCUAACGAUCGUUGAAAUCACCUAUGAAUCCAGCGCAUUGUCGCCCGAUUCUAUGUAAAUAAUAAGUAGAUGAUAGGAUGGAGAAAGAUAUGUAACGUUUAUAUUUUUUAAACGGCGCGCACAAAAAAUCGUUGGACACAAAUUGUGUUAAUCGAUAGAUGGGAUGAUGCUUGACGUCUGCGAUAUUUAACUGGGCAAUAUCGAAACAAAUUGUUGACAAAUUCUGACAACAACGAUUUAUUUCACUUCGGAAACCAUUCCUUUACACACAGAUUUAUAUAGAUGGAUAAAUAGACGAAGAGGACGGAAA